AAGGGCACCACAAGAACGCGUGGAGCAUGUGGCUUAAUUUGACUCAACGCGGGAAAUCUUACCGGGUCCGGACACACUGAGGAUUGACAGGUUCUAAUAGUAUCUUUUUGCGGAGAUAUUAGUAAAUAUGCUAGACCUUUCAUGAUUGUGUGAUAGGUGGUGCAUGGCCGUUCUUAGUUCGUGGACUAAUCUGUCUGGUUAAUU
rnacentral:rRNA from 1 species